ACAUCUGAAGGAGAACCUGGUAAGAACAUGGAAGGUCAGGAUGGAGAACCACCAUGGAAGGAACCACCUGAGGAACAUCUGAAGAAGAUGGAAGGAAACAUCUGAAGGACAUCUGAUGGAGAAGAUGGAAGGCUCAACCUUUGAGGAAACAUCUGAAGAACAUCUGAGGAACAUCUGAAGGAGAAGAUGGAAGGCACAACCUUUGAGGAAACAUCUGAGGAACA